CCUACGGGAGGCAGCAGUGAGGAAUAUUGGUCAAUGGACGAGAGUCUGAACCAGCCAAGUAGCGUGAAGGAUGACUGCCCUAUGGGUUGUAAACUUCUUUUAUAUGGGAAUAAAACGUUCCACGUGUGGGAUUUUGUAUGUACCAUAUGAAUAAGGAUCGGCUAACUCCGUGCCAGCAGCCGCGGUAAUACGGAGGAUCCGAGCGUUAUCCGGAUUUAUUGGGUUUAAAGGGAGCGUAGGUGGAUUGUUAAGUCAGUUGUGAAAGUUUGCGGCUCAACCGUAAAAUUGCAGUUGAAACUGGCAGUCUUGAGUACAGUAAAGGUGGGCGGAAUUCGUGGUGUAGCGGUGAAAUGCUUAGAUAUCACGAAGAACUCCGAUUGCGAAGGCAGUUCACUGGACUGCAACUGACACUGAGGCACGAAAGUGUGGGUAUCAAACAGGAUUAGAUACCCGAGUAGUC
rnacentral:rRNA from 1 species